rnacentral:rRNA from 1 species
UACGGGAGGCAGCAGUGAGGAAUAUUGCACAAUGGGCGCAAGCCUGAUGCAGCCAUGCCGCGUGUAUGAAGAAGGCCUUCGGGUUGUAAAGUACUUUCAGUCGUGAGGAAGGUGUUAAGGUUAAUAACCUUAGCAAUUGACGUUAGCGACAGAAGAAGCACCGGCUAACUCCGUGCCAGCAGCCGCGGUAAUACGGAGGGUGCGAGCGUUAAUCGGAAUUACUGGGCGUAAAGGGCACGCAGGCGGUUAAUUAAGUUGGAUGUGAAAUCCCCGGGCUUAACCUGGGAAUGGCAUUCAAGACUGGUUAGCUAGAGUCUUGUAGAGGGGGUAGAAUUCCAUGUGUAGCGGUGAAAUGCGUAGAGAUGUGGAGGAAUACCGGUGGCGAAGGCGGCCCCUGGGACAAAGACUGACGCUCAUGUGCGAAAGCGUGGGGAGCAAACGAGGGAUUAGGAUACC